rnacentral:tRNA from 1 species
GGACCCAUAGUGUAGUCUGGAUAUCACACGAGCUUGCGGAGCUUGUAACCCGUGUUCGAAUCGCGGUGGGUCCGCCA